AAUACUUAGGAAUCUGCCUAUUAGUGGGGGACAACAUUUCGAAAGGAAUGCUAAUACCGCAUACGCCCUACGGGGGAAAGCAGGGGCUCUUCGGACCUUGCGCUAAUAGAUGAGCCUAAGUCAGAUUAGCUAGUUGGUGGGGUAAAGGCCUACCAAGGCGACGAUCUGUAACGGGUCUGAGAGGAUGAUCCGUCACACUGGGACUGAGACACGGCCCAGACUCCUACGGGAGGCAGCAGUGGGGAAUAUUGGACAAUGGGGGCAACCCUGAUCCAGCCAUGCCGCGUGUGUGAAGAAGGCCUUUUGGUUGUAAAGCACUUUAAGCGAGGAGGAGGCUCCUGUAGAUAAUACCUACAGUGAGUGGACGUUACUCGCAGAAUAAGCACCGGCUAACUCUGUGCCAGCAGCCGCGGUAAUACAGAGGGUGCGAGCGUUAAUCGGAUUUACUGGGCGUAAAGCGUGCGUAGGUGGCCAAUUAAGUCAAAUGUGAAAUCCCUGAGCUUAACUUAGGAAUUGCAUUCGAUACUGGUUGGCUAGAGUAUGGGAGAGGAUUGGUAGAAUUCCAGGUGUAGCGGUGAAAUGCGUAGAGAUCUGGAGG
rnacentral:rRNA from 1 species